rnacentral:rRNA from 1 species
UGGGGAAUUUUGGACAAUGGGCGAAAGCCUGAUCCAGCAAUGCCGCGUGUGUGAAGAAGGCCUUCGGGUUGUAAAGCACUUUUGUCCGGAAAGAAAAUCCUCUGGUUAAUACCUCGGGGGAUGACGGUACCGGAAGAAUAAGCACCGGCUAACUACGUGCCAGCAGCCGCGGUAAUACGUAGGGUGCAAGCGUUAAUCGGAAUUACUGGGCGUAAAGCGUGCGCAGGCGGUUUGCUAAGACCGAUGUGAAAAUCCCCGGGCUCAACCUGGGAACUGCAUUGGUGACUGGCAGGCUAGAGUAUGGCAGAGGGGGGUAGAAUUCCACGUGUAGCAGUGAAAUGCGUAGAGAUGUGGAGGAAUACCGAUGGCGAAGGCAGCCCCCUGGCCAAGUACUGACGCUCAUGCACGAAAGCGUGGGGAGCAAAACAGGAUUAGAU